rnacentral:sRNA from 1 species
ACUCAACGCUAUAAAAUUCAAAAGGGUGAGUUUAAGUUGUAAAAGCAUGCCGUCUUUGUCACGGAUCCUUGAGCAGCUUGUUAGCCCUAAACUUGUAUUUAGGAGUUU